rnacentral:rRNA from 1 species
UACGGGGGGAGCAAGCGUUGUUCGGAUUUACUGGGCGUAAAGGGCGCGUAGGCGGUCAGCACAAGUCAGUUGUGAAAUCUCCGGGCUUAACUCGGAAAGGUCAACUGAUACUGUGCGACUAGAGUGCGGAAGGGGCGACUGGAAUUCUCGGUGUAGCGGUGAAAUGCGCAGAUAUCAGGAGGAACACCAAUUGCGAAGGCAGCUCGCUGGGACGUAACUGACGCUGAGACGCGAAAGCGUGGGAGCAAACAGG